GCGCCGUGAAACUGUUGAAACUGUGCAAUUAGCUUUUUAGCCAUCACAGAAUAAGGGGCCUUCUCAUAAUCAUAAACCUAAGGUAAUAAGACCCAUCGAAGUCAGCAAAAUAAAAAUUUUGGUGGUCCCAAAGCAGUUAGAAAGAAAAAUGAUCAAUGCAAGUUCUAUAAAAAGAAGGGUCACUGGUAGAAAGACUGUUUUAAGUUCAAGACUUGGUUGGAAAAGAAGAGGAGUUCUCCA
rnacentral:lncRNA from 1 species